rnacentral:rRNA from 1 species
UAGGGAAUCUUCGGCAAUGGGGGCAACCCUGACCGAGCAACGCCGCGUGAGUGAAGAAGGUUUUCGGAUCGUAAAGCUCUGUUGUAAGAGAAGAACGUGUGUGAGAGUGGAAAGUUCACACAGUGACGGUAACUUACCAGAAAGGGACGGCUAACUACGUGCCAGCAGCCGCGGUAAUACGUAGGUCCCGAGCGUUGUCCGGAUUUAUUGGGCGUAAAGCGAGCGCAGGCGGUUUAAUAAGUCUGAAGUUAAAGGCAGUGGCUUAACCAUUGUUCGCUUUGGAAACUGUUAAACUUGAGUGCAGAAGGGGAGAGUGGAAUUCCAUGUGUAGCGGUGAAAUGCGUAGAUAUAUGGAGGACCACCGGUGGCGAAAGCAGCUCUCUGGUCUGUAACUGACGCUGAGGCUCGAAAGCGUGGGGAGCAAACAGG